UUGGCUCUAUCCUCAUGCUUGUUGCUGGCUGGGCUGGGAGGGAAGGUGGGAUCAGUGUUGGGCUUGGGUUGCGGGUGACAACCGUUUGCAAUGCGUGCGCUUGUCACAUAAUUGGCUUGGGUUGCCAAUUACCAUGGUGUGGGGGAGGCAGUGAAAUAGUGCCCACUGAGCUGCUGCUAGGAGGAUGGAGGACAUAACCACCAGCUUUAUUUGCUUGCAACCAGUAGGGACAUUCAUGUGCCUGCUACAGAUCCCCACUAACAUGAUUGCUGCAAGCCUGCAACUGCAUGGGUGCUAUUCCUUGCCACGAGGAUUAUGAUACAAUUAACAUGAUUUAAUCACUGUAGUACUCUUAAGUCCACUUUUGUGGAGACAAGAUUUGGGCCUCUGACUGUUAGAACGAUCAGACAAAUGCACUACAUAGGUUCAUUUCUUUUGUGCGCAUGAGAAGGCGAGGCUGGUGUAAGAGCAGUCUGUGGUAGCUAUGCAGUUUGUUUGUAAGGCAAAACAACAGCAUUGAAGAUGCUAAGUCGCAUAUUAUCUAUUGAUAGUGAAAUUUUUCAUAGCAUUUCUAAAAUGCAUCAGUAUUCGGCCUCUAGCCCAUAUAGCACAGAACAUGCAUCCUGUAUACUGAAUCAUAGAUAUUAUACUGUAGGUACAGUUUAAGAACACUUUGUUUCAUUCUCUAAAGCAAGUAGUGCCCUUUUGUGCUACCUUUGGAUGUUGAAGAUAAUCAGAUUGCAUGGAUGGGAACUAUUUGGUUGGAGUUGCAUCACUACCUUCAGUAGUUGCAAAUUUGUUUACAAAGCUGACCUGGAACACAAAAAAUUGUUUAAGUUGUAACUAUAAACACAUCAUGAGGGCCAUGACAUCAUCAUCAAGGUGGGUCUUGUGAAACUUGGUAAGGUCAGGCCUGAAUGUUAUCAUUGUCCAAUUAGCCCCCAUCAAGCUAGUUGUGAUCUCAGGUUGUAAACAAAUUUUGGGCAGGUUUGGUGGGUCAUGUGAAACUUGGGAAGGUUUGCUGCAUUUUGGGCAAAAGUUCAUGACACCCUCAACAAAAAAAGGGGUCAAUAUGCACACUAAACUGUAAAUUCAGCACCUAAAAAGGAGGAAAAGGAAGGGAAGGAUCUAGAUUUCACAACCCAAUAAAUUCUUCACAAGUUCUUGAUGUUUGCUGCAAAGGAAACCAGCCAGGUGCUCUUUUACUUGUCUUGGAGUUGUAGUAUUCUGUUUUAAAUUUGUGCAUCAUAUUAUGAAUGACUCAUGGCAUGGACUAUGUUUGAUGUAAGGAAUUGUGGUUUGUAAUCAAUGUAUGCACUUGUGGUUUGUAAAUGAUGUAUGAACAUGUGACACUUUAUGAGUGAAUUAUAUUUACUAUGUGAGAUUUGAUGUGUGCCUA